rnacentral:rRNA from 1 species
GUAGGUGGCAAGCGUUGUCCGGAAUUAUUGGGCGUAAAGCGCGCGCAGGCGGUUCUUUAAGUCUGAUGUGAAAGCCCACGGGCUCAACCGUGGAGGGUCAUUGGAAACUGGAGAACUUGAGUACAGAAGAGGAAAGCGGAAUUCCACGUGUAGCGGUGAAAUGCGUAGAGAUGUGGAGGAACACCAGUGGCGAAGGCGGCUUUCUGGUCUGUAACUGACGCUGAGGCGCGAAAGCGUGGGGAGCAAACAGGAUUAGAUACCCUGGUAGUCCACGCCGUAAACGAUGAGUGCUAAGUGUUAGGGGGUUUCCGCCCCCUUAGUGCUGCAGCUAACGCAUUAAGCACUCCGCCUGGGGAGUACGGCCGCAAAGGCUG